AAAACACGCUCGCGCCUCUGCGUAAGGUCAGAACCUCGUUGCAUGCGAUUUUGCCACAUGCGGCAAGAAAAGAGUUUUCUCAAUUUUCUAGCUUUUCAAGACAUUCAAAUAAAAUCGCAUGCGCCGGAUUCGCAAAUGCUGUCAUUAACGUCAAAUCCCAUACUAACCCGGAUGACAAUUUCAGCACGGAAAAUCGGGUUGACAUAUGAUGCAAGUCGCUUUCCGUUCCGCUUUUCAGACGAAAGCGAUCUCACUAUGAGCAGCGUGCUGUGAGAAAAAAGGAAGGGGAAAAUCAGUGCAAUCAUCGCAUGGUAGUCAUGGCGAAAAAAAGUUCAUCUGUUGACUUGUUGUACUGCCGUGGUUGGAUUUGAUCCGCAGUACAUCAAGUCAGAACAGCUCAAUUAAACUUGUAAACCAUCGAAGGCUUCGAAAUCUUGGACGUUUAAAGGGCACCAGUAGACGAAUCGAAUCUUGAAGCAGAAAUAGAUCCACGCACAAGUGAAAAUAUUGACGAUGAUAUCGUGUUGCCUUUGAUGAUUUCUAGGUGUUCAAGAAACAACAAGGGAUGAUGAAGAGUAAACGAUGGAGAGUGCAACAGCUACCAUUGCUGAUUUAGGAUCCAGGCUAUACAAAGAAAAAGGAUUUGGAGAAAAUUUGUGAAAACAGAAUGUAUAAAUCCUCCAAGUGCAAAAAAUGACUGAAGCAAUUUCAAUGUGACUAGCAGUGGAAAAGGAGUGUACGCUCUCUAAGCAGAGAUGAAUUUGCAAAUGACGGAGGAUGUAAGAACAUUGGAAAAAAGCACAUGUUAUGUACAUGUGGCCAGCCGGCUCUGUCACUCAAUUUACACUACAAACCAUUAAAAGCACGUGAUUUUAUUUAGCUUUUAUAGGGUUCUUUGCCGGGUGUUUUUUUUUUCAAGUUUAUUAGGCAGGCCUUUAGGUUUUAGGCCUUUUUGUGAUUCAUAGGAAUGUUUUAGAAUUGUGCAUGCAGGUCAAAACUACAAAAUACAUUACGAAUCAAUACAAUUAUACUUUUUUUUAAGUAA